CAAGGUUACUGCUGAAAUGGAAAACUAAGUGACACAUGGCUUGAAAACUCUCAGAAUCACUGGCAUUCCCUGGUCAAGUUGAGUGGAACAAAUCACUCCCCAAACAAAAUGAAGUUUUGACUCUAUAGAGCCAAUGGAUGUGGACCCUGGACUUAGAAAGAGAUUUGUAAACAAACCAGAGAACACCGAAGAGCUGCUCCUUCGCACUGAAAUGGUUUGCUGGCUUUCUGCCUAGAUCCGACAUCUCUUCAAAUGGACAGUCCCAACUCUCCUUCUCUCACUUCUCUUCCCCCUUCUCUGUAAGUCACAAAUGCUGCAUUUGGAGGAACUUCAUUUUAACUAGGAUAAAC
rnacentral:lncRNA from 1 species